rnacentral:rRNA from 1 species
UACGGAGGGGGCUAGCGUUGUUCGGAAUUACUGGGCGUAAAGCGCGCGUAGGCGGAUUGCUAAGUCGGGGGUGAAAUCCCGGGGCUCAACCCCGGAACUGCCUUCGAUACUGGCAAUCUGGAGUUCGAUAGAGGUGAGUGGAAUUCCGAGUGUAGAGGUGAAAUUCGUAGAUAUUCGGAGGAACACCAGUGGCUAAGGCGGCUCACUGGCUCGAUACUGACGCUGAGGUGCGAAAGCGUGGGGAGCAAACAGG